rnacentral:rRNA from 1 species
CAUGCAAGUCUACUUGAACUUCGGUUUGGGUGGCGGACGGGUGAGUAACGCGUAAAGAACUUGCCUCACAGUUUGGGACAACAUUUGGAAACGAAUGCUAAUACCGAAUAUUAUGAUCGAAUGGCAUCAUUUGAUUAUGGAAGCUAUAUGCGCUGUGAGAGAGCUUUGCGUCCCAUUAGCUAGUUGGAGAGGUAACGGCUCACCAAGGCGAUGAUGGGUAGCCGGCCUGAGAGGGUGAACGGCCACAAGGGGACUGAGACACGGCCCUUACUCCUACGGGAGGCAGCAGUGGGGAAUAUUGGACAAUGGACCAAAAGUCGGAUCCAGCAAUUCUGUGUGCACGAUGAAGUUUUUCGGAAUGUAAAGUGCUUUCAGUUGGGAAGAAGAAAGUGACGGUACCAACAGAAGAAGUGACGGCUAAAUACGUGCCAGCAGCCGCGGUAAUACGUAUGUCACAAGCGUUAUCCGGAUUUAUUGGGCGUAAAGCGCGUCUAGGCGGUUAAUUAAGUCUGAUGUGAAAAUGCGGAGCUCAACUCCGUAUUGCGUUGGAAACUGGUUAACUAGAGUACUGGAGAGGUAAGCGGAACUACAAGUGUAGAGGUGAAAUUCGUAGAUAUUUGUAGGAAUGCCGAUGGGAAGCCAGCUUACUGGACAGAUACUGACGCUAAAGCGCGAAAGCGUGGGUAGCAAACAGGAUUAGAUACCCUGGUAGUCCACGCUGUAAACGAUGAUUACUAGGUGUUGGGGGUCGAACCUCAACGCCCAAGCUAACGCGAUAAGUAAUCCGCCUGGGGAGUACGUACGCAAGUAUGAAACUCAAAGGAAUUGACGGGGACCCGCACAAGCGGUGGAGCAUGUGGUUUAAUUCGACGCAACGCGAGGAACCUUACCAGCGUUUGACAUCUUA